AUUUAUUUUAUUAGUUUCUUUUAGGAUAAAUAACUCUAUAGUUUUUAUUCUGAAAUUAUUAAUUUUUUGCUGGCUCUUCUCCUUCCUAGUUCUGACACAGCAUGAAAGCAGGGAUUUGAGGGCCCAGGGACAGCAAAAACUCAGUUGACUAUUCAAGCCAAGUUUAAGACUGACUGCUUUCUCUUGACCUGUGGGCAGUUACAUCUGAAGGGGGCUGAUUGUGGUACAGCUAGCAGUUCAUAACGAAUGAGGGCUGUGUGCUUCUGCUGUGAAUGACAUCACACAAGGCUGAGUGGGAAAAUACUUUCUCUUGAGAUUCUAUUUAAAAAUCAAAAGUAGAACUUUAUGAUAUCAUUUUUGACAAUGCUGUACAACUGUGGCCCUUCCCAUCUGUCUGCUCACCAAAGACAUGGAGAUCUGGGUUUCCCUUAGCACAGAGCAAAUCAGCCAAAGAGCCUGAGGCCUGGGUAGCCUGGGGAAGAGAAGCGGUCUUAAGGGGAAGAAUUUCGAUCAAGUAAUCCUGGAGUAUUGAGCCUGGGCUACCUUCUCCUGCCACAGAUACUCUAUCCCAUUUGCUGUCAUCCAACGACUAACACCGUUUUCACUUCAGAACGUCAAGCCUUUUCUGUUCUCUUCAUGGCCUCCUCCCAUUAAAGCUGAAAGUAUCUGCUAUCAGUCAUUUGUCCUAACUGAGGAAGAAACUAUCUUCCAGAGGCAAAGUACAUCGUCCGAGGUCACACAGCUUGCCAAAGGCACAACUAGGUUCUCAACACAUGUUCAACUAACUCCAGAUAUGGAACUCUUCCAUUAAAGCACAAAAAUCUGAACUUUUUGUUUUUAAAUAUAAUUGUUUUUAUUUUC
rnacentral:lncRNA from 1 species